rnacentral:rRNA from 1 species
AGCGAACGCUGGCGGCAGGCCUAACACAUGCAAGUCGAGCGGGCAUACUUGUGGUGUCAGCGGCAGACGAGUGGCGAACGCGUGGGAACGUGAUCUUCGGUUCGGCUUAACUCGGGGAAACUUGAGCGAAUACCGGAUACAUGCCAGAGCAGAAAGGUUUAUCUGCGGAAGGAUCGGGCCGCGUCUGAUUAGCUGGUUGGUGAGGUUAUGGCUCACCAAGGGGACGAUCAGUAGCUGGGCUGAGAGGAAGAGCAGCCACACUGGGGGUGAGACACGGCGCGGACUCUUGGGGGAGGGAGGAAUGCGGAAUAUUGGACGACGGGGGCAACCCUGAGGCAGCCAGGCCGCGUAAGUGAUUUCGUCCUGAGGGUUGUAAAUGUCUUUUCUCCGGUACGAGAAUGACGGUACCGGAGGAAUAAGCCCCGGCUAACUACGUG